GCGUCGUCCCAGAACGCCGUCGGUAACGUGGUAACGGUUCCCUGUAAAUUGUUGUCGCCCCUUUGUAAGUCGUCGUUCCCGUCAAUUUUCGUCGAAUUUUCUGUCAUCGUAAAAGUGCGUGACGUUCCAAAAUCGCCCCCUUGAAAAUCCCACCGAUUUGUAAAAUUUUUCAGUGUUUAGGUUCGUUCGUGCGACGUCCACAAGAGGGUGCAACUCGUCGUGACGUCACGCACAAGCGAUCAGUCAGAGCAAUAUGUCGGCGUGUUGGUGGAGCAAGUGAUAGUUAUUGUGUGGAAAAAUAAAAUAAAAGGGGCAUCCAAAUUUGUGAGACGACACGCGAAAAGACUCGAUUGAAAUUAGCACGAUGGCGUCGCAUUGCAUCGGCAAAUCGGAGUUUAUAGUUGGUGGCAAGUAUCGGUUAAUUCGGAAAAUCGGCAGUGGCUCCUUCGGGGACAUCUACUUGGGCAUCAACAUCACAAACGGAGAGGAAGUCGCUGUAAAACUCGAAUCAAUUAGAGCAAGACACCCCCAACUCCUCUACGAAAGUAAAUUGUACAAAAUUCUACAUGGUGGCAUAGGAAUCCCACAUAUCAGAUAUUACGGCCAAGAAAAAGAACACAACGUUCUGGUGAUGGACCUCCUCGGUCCAUCACUGGAAGACCUGUUCAAUUUUUGUUCGCGUCGUUUCACGAUCAAAACCGUUCUGAUGUUGGCCGACCAGAUGAUCGGCCGUAUUGAAUACGUCCAUUGCAAGUCUUUCAUUCAUCGCGACAUCAAACCGGACAACUUCCUCAUGGGCAUUGGUCGCCACUGCAACAAACUCUUCCUGAUCGACUUUGGUUUAGCGAAGAAGUUUAGAGAUGCACGCACUAGGAUGCACAUCGGAUAUCGCGAAGAUAAGAACUUGACGGGAACGGCACGAUAUGCCUCGAUCAACGCCCAUCUGGGCAUUGAACAGUCGCGACGUGACGACAUGGAGUCGCUCGGCUACGUGCUGAUGUACUUCAACAGGGGCUGUUUGCCGUGGCAAGGGCUCAAAGCGGCCACCAAGAAGCAGAAGUACGAGAAGAUUAGCGAGAAGAAGAUGUCCACGCCGGUCGAGGUCCUCUGCAAGGGCUUUCCGGCGGAGUUCUCGAUGUACCUCAAUUACUGUCGCGGCCUCCGUUUCGAAGAGGCCCCCGAUUACAUGUACCUAAGACAGCUGUUCCGGAUUCUGUUCCGCACAUUGAAUCACCAAUACGACUACACGUUCGACUGGACCAUGCUGAAACAGAAGGCGGCAGCUACAGGAGGAACAGUGGCCGAAACGUCGGCCCAACCACAGACAUCGCGAGUUGUAAUAUCUCAGCAAACAGCGAACCGUGACAAAAAAGAUGACGAAAAGAACAAGCAAAAUUCUGCUAAAGGUCAGCCAGUUGUCACGAAGCUUCUAUAAAGGAUCAACGCUGUAUUUAAAAACACUGUUAGUUUUCAUCCUUUUUUGAGUGUUUGAUUUUUAUUUUAAUUUUUAAUUAAAGCUUUUGGCAACCGUUAACACGCCCCACAUGCACCACCACCGACUGGGUCUAACCGACUUCGCAUAUAGUUGGUCAAAGCAAAAAUAAAAUUAUAAUAAACAAAAAUUAAGAGGUUGUCUUGAUGGACGCUGACAAUUUUAUAUAAAAAAUUAUUAAAACAUUAUUGUAAGUGAGCAUACACGAAUUAAUUUUCUUUACCCGCCGUUAAUGGGAAAUUGUAUAAAAAUAUAUUAAAAAACAAACAAAAAAUUUAAGGGCGAGGCCACUCACAAAUAGGCCACGUCUCCUCGAGUAUGAUAGUGGAUUAGUGAUGCGUGGGAGUGAAUGCAAGUCUGGCUGUAUUAUUUAAUAUGUUAAGAAAUAGAUUGUAAAAUAAUGGAAACAAAAGUGAGUACCGUAAACGUCACUAAGGAUUUGAAAAUUAAUGCGGAACUCUUGACGAGCCUACGACAUUCAGGCGCUGCACGGUAAAACGUGGUCGUUAAAUGUGAUCAUUGAUUUGUUAGAUUCUCUCAUUACUUGAGCCUCGUUUUACAGUGCGGCUUGUACAUUUUAUAAUAAUGGUGUUAAUGUAUUUUACUUUUGUUUUUUAUCGUAUGGGUAUAAUAAGAACUGAUGGGUGCGGCGUUGUCCGCACCUUCUAGUUGUUUAAAAUCAACAAAGUUGCUUUCGUUAGGUAACCCCGGCAAAAUGUUUGACACGAGUAAAUCGGAUCGAUGCACAUUCAGAAAUUCUAUUAAAACAUCAAAGUGUAGUGUUUUAAACUAUGCUCUAUUUUUAUCGCAGGCUGUGUAAGAUUUACUUUGGUCUAAUCUGUUGUUUGAGGUUAUUUUUCUCUUUCAAAGGAUGUAUAGUUUGGAUUGAGAAUGGAGGUUUCUUUGUAUUUGACUAUGCGUCUUUUCUAUGUAGCUGCGUCUUAAGCAACUGCCAUGAACUUAAUUGUCGAUUUUUUUCCAUUGUAAAAUGUAAUAUCAGUGUGUGAAAAAUGCUCUAUUAUUACAAGCAAAUUACGAAACAAGUUACUUGUUAAAUACAAUUGUAUAAUAUGGUUUUGUCUUCAUUUAUAAUUAACUAAAUACGCUAUAGUUUUUACAAUAGUUUUUUUCAAGGGUAUCUGAGACAAACCCUUAUUUUUAAGUUAAUAACCACGUUGGAUAUUUAUGUAAAAGUAACUCUCACAAUGAGGUAAGAUUAAAGAUUGAAAUUGUA